GAUGAACGCUGGCGGCGUGCCUAAUACAUGCAAGUCGAGCGAACAGACGAGGAGCUUGCUCCUCUGACGUUAGCGGCGGACGGGUGAGUAACACGUGGAUAACCUACCUAUAAGACUGGGAUAACUUCGGGAAACCGGAGCUAAUACCGGAUAAUAUAUUGAACCGCAUGGUUCAAUAGUGAAAGACGGUUUUGCUGUCACUUAUAGAUGGAUCCGCGCCGCAUUAGCUAGUUGGUAAGGUAACGGCUUACCAAGGCAACGAUGCGUAGCCGACCUGAGAGGGUGGUCGGCCACACUGGAACUGAGACACGGUCCAGACUCCUACGGGAGGCAGCAGUAGGGAAUCUUCCGCAAUGGGCGAAAGCAUGACGGAGCAACGCCGCGUGAGUGAUGAAGGUCUUCGGAUCGUAAAGCUCUGUUAUUAGGGAAGAACAAAUGUGUAAGUAACUAUGCACGUCUUGACGGUACCUAAUCAGAAAGCCACGGCUAACUACGUG
rnacentral:rRNA from 1 species